AUGUCGUGGUGGAAGUCCAAGUCGCACUUCAGCGCCGACAGCCAGGACUCGAGCUCCGACGGCGCGUACCGCGGAGGUAAGGAACGCUCGCCGUCACGUCGCAAGAAGUCCGACGAAGACGAGGAGGAGUACCGCCCCUACGCAGGCUACGGCGCCAACACCAACCGCGGCGGGGCCAACGAAGGCGGGGGCGGCGGCUACAACAACGGCUACGGCGGCGGUGGCUCGUACAGCAACGGCAACAGCGGUAUCACGCCCUACAACGGCGGCGGUGGCUACAACAGCAACUCUUCCUACGGCAACGGCGGCGGUGGCUACAACAACAACUCUUCCUACGGCAACGGCAACGGCGGCGACGGGUACAACAACGCUCCCAGCUGGGCAUCCCAGGACACCGGCGGCCGGACGCCGAUGUACAUAAACACCAGAGAGGUCCACGUCUAUGGGGCGCCGCAGAACGACGACGACUACAACGGCGACCAGAAGAGGCGUGGCGGCGGCGGCGGGGGCAGCGGGUUCUUCGGUCCGGCCUUCCAUGCCGUCGGCCAUUUCGUCGAUCGCAGGUUCGGCCUCGACGAUAGGAACUGA
rnacentral:rRNA from 1 species